rnacentral:lncRNA from 1 species
GUGGAGAAGUAUCUGCGUCAAACUGAUCCUCAAUUCCUCCACUUCAUGGCCACUCAUUCUUCUUCAGCUGGUACCACAGACCCAAUUCCCCAACAAGAUCCAUAGGUUGCUCUAUUUCCCAACUCUAUUCCUUUUCCCUUGAACAUUGACGUGAACAUUAUGUGUGAUCUAAAACUGUUGUAGUUUGCUAUGUUUAAAUGGUUUGAACACGAACUUAAUGUGUAUUUCCC